rnacentral:lncRNA from 1 species
CUCGGAAAACUACGUAAAUCAUCAUUCAAGGUGUACAUAUGAUAGUAUAAACUAAACGACGUCUCAAUUUUUAUCAGUAUCCUGUUGUUACUAUAAUCCCUCUCAACAAAUAACCACCCUCUGUCAUCUAGUUUCUGAUAUGUAGUGCAAAUACAUUGACGUAUAGAACGAGAAGAGGAACUACAUCUUAAAUCCUUUCUUUGAAAUUGUGCUUGCAACACUUUCCUCAAAACUUUAGCUAUAGGUCUUGAGGAAUACUCAGGAUUAAUAAGUUGUAAUAAUGGACGUAGAUGUUCUGGCAAAUUAGACCACAUCGGAUUUUCCGUAUGCACUGACAGAAUAAUCAAUACAAAACAUAAUAACACAUUACUGCAAGUCAUCUUGCAUACUAUGUUAGCUUCUUUACCCAGAUACAGUUAUGUUGAAAAUACCACUCGUUACGCAUGAUCUUGAGCAUGUGAAAUGUCUCUAUCAACAUGAAAAGAG